rnacentral:lncRNA from 1 species
GGUGAGUCAUUGUUCAGUGAUGAUGUACUCCUACAUCUCACCUGUAUGCCAUACAGUGUCUCCACACUUCUUGGUUUAAGAGGACAACCAACUAAAUGACACACAACGACCUAUACUUGACAUAGCUAUUGUCCAAUUGACAGCUCAUCAUUUGGUCGCGAACUGGUUUAAGGACUAAAUGAUAAAACCUCUUUUAUCCACUAAAUUAGUCCUAAGGACUUCAUCACAAUACACAGGAGUUCAAUUUGAAGAUAUAACACUUGUGAUGAAUAGAAAAUUGCCAGAAUAAAUUUUUAUUCAUUUUAAUAAAAUAUAUAUAUAAUCUAAUUUCUUACAAUUAAAAAUUGGCUUUGGGACACAAUUCCCAACAGAAGAAAGAGAAGAAAACGGUAGCAACAACAAGGAAGCAAGACCUCCUUAGGGCUAAGUCGGGAGGUUUACAUAGACCCUCCCGACGGCCCAGAUCGGCGAAGCUAAAACUCGACUCCCGCCUAGAUCUCGCCACGUGUCGGCCCCAAAAUCCGAAGUGACACAUCUAACCUGGACCGACGCUUCGAAUACGAAAACGAAA